CUACCAUGGCUUUCACGGGUAACGGAGGAUUAGGGUUCGAUUCCGGAGAGGGAGCCUGAGAAACGGCUACCACAUCUAAGGAAGGCAGCAGGCGCGUAAAUUACCCAAUACUGAUUCAGUGAGGUAGUGACAAGAAAUAGCGGGCCGGCGACAAGCCGGGACUGAAAUGAUUAGAAUUUAACGACCUUUACGAGGAACAAUUGGAGGGCAAGUCUGGUGCCAGCAGCCGCGGUAAUUCCAGCUCCAAUAGCGUAUAUUAAAGUUGUUGCAGUUAAAAAGCUCGUAGUUGGAUUUCUGGCGGUGUGACUCCGGCCGGCAUGACGUCGGGUCCAGAGCGCGCCACCAUCCUUCUGUCAACCUUCGCGGGAUUCGUUUCCCGCGUCGUGGGCUCAGAUAUUUUACCUUGAGAAAAUUAGAGUGUUUCAGGCAGGCUUUCGCCGGAAUACAUUAGCAUGGAAUAAUAGAAAAGGACUUCAACCUCUUCUGUUGGUCUGAGGGGCUGUAGUAAUGAUUAAUAGGGAUAGUUGGGGGCAUUAGUACUUGACUGUCAGAGGUGAAAUUCUCCGAUUUGUUAAAGACUAACUUAUGCGAAAGCAUUUGCCAAGGAUGUUUUCAUUAAUCAA
rnacentral:rRNA from 1 species